rnacentral:rRNA from 1 species
CCUUGACCUGCUAAAUAGACGGGUUGACAUUUUGUUGGCCCCUUAUGUCUUCUUAGAGGGACUAUCGACCGUCUAGGUGAUGGAGGCAAAAGGCAAUAACAGGUCUGUGAUGCCCUUAGAUGUUCCGGGCUGCACGCGCGCUACACUGACAGAGACAACGAGUGGGGCCCCUUGUCCGAAAUGACUGGGUAAACUUGUGAAACUUUGUCGUGCUGGGGAUGGAUCUUUGUAAUUUUUGCUCUUCAACGAGGAAUUCCUAGUAAGCGCAAGUCAUCAGCUUGCGUUGACUACGUCCCUGCCCUUUGUACACACCGCCCGUCGCUACUACCGAUUGAAUGGCUUAGUGAGGACUUGGGAGAGUACAUCGGGGAGCCAGCAAUGGCACCCUGACGGCUCAAACUCUUACAAACUUGGUCAUUUAGAGGAAGUAAAAGUCG